CUGACAUCAGUGAUUAUUAAGCAGUCCUGCCCUGUGUCAGUGUAAAUUAAUAUCAGCUAGUUCAGUCCCAACUGAUGGCCUAUAAAAAGGUGUCUUAUUACAACGGUGUCACACGAGUAACAUCUCAUGAUGCGUAAAAGCAAAGAGGUCUCUCAAGAUCUUCACAACCUUAUUGUUGCAAAACGUACUGAUGGCUUUGGUUACAGAAGGACUGCUAAACUUCUGAAUGUUCCAGUGAGCACUGUGAGGCCAUAAUCCAGAAGUGAAAAAAACCCCCAACAAUUUCACCAUAAACCAGCCAUGACCAGGUGCUUCUUGCAAGGUUUCUGACAGAGGAGUGAAAAGAAUUAUUAGAAGAGUUGUCCAAUAGCCAAGAACCACUUCAGAAACACCUGGAAUUAGGAGGUACAGUUGGUUCAACAAAAACAUUAAGAAAUGCACUCAACCGCCAUGCCCUGUAUGCACGCUGACCAUGCAAGAGUCCAUUGCUGAAAAAAAGCAAGUUGAAGCUUGUUUAAAAUUUGCUGCACAAAAUUUAGACAAGCCUGUGAGACACUGAGAGAAUCCAGUCUGGUCAGAUGAGACCAAAAUUUAACUCUUUGGAUGCCAUAACACAAACCAUAAAUGGCACUACACAUAAUCCCGAAAACACCACACCGACAGUGAAGUUUGGAGUUGGGAACAUCAUGGUGUGGGGCUGAU